CUACCCUGCCCCACUACCCUACCCCACUUCACCUUUUAUUUCAUUUUUUUAAACCAAUUCAAAAACAACAAAAAUAUAAAAUGGCCCACAGGGAAUAUUGAGGGAACAACAAUAUACACCAUCACUCAUCCUUUUCCAUUGGAGAAUGACAGUAAUCUGACCAUCUCACCUUCCAUAUAUACACACGGACAUCCACAAUUCAUGGAGGAAAAGAUUUUUAUCAUAUACACAUGCACUGACAUAGUGAAAGAAAAAAAAACAAAAACACUCACUUCCGAGUGGCUUCUUCUCCAUUUAAUUCACUCACCUCACCACACAGCACACACUACACAUAUACACACCACUGGAAUAACAACACAGGGAGGGGAAAAUACACACAAUUUUCACACACUCUAUAAAGAUUCAUGCACACACACAGCCAUGACAAAAGAGUGUGAGAAAUCGAGGGAGAUUGAGAGAGAAGAGAGGAACGAGAGAGAGAGGUAGAAGAGAUUCAAAGAGUGAUCAGAGAGUACUAUUCCAGCGAGUGGUGUUUCACCGAAAAAUUGGCUAAACGCAUCGGAAAUCACCUUCUCCGUCGAUGAAUGCCAUUGGACUCACCCCCUCCUAACUCCAGAUAGACCACUCAACCAAAAUCUAGUGACGGCGGCCCCAUUCCAGUCUCUAUUCCAGCAAAUUUUGCCGGAAUUAACAAAGCCAGCUCCAGCUCUGACAAAAAUAGACCGAGAUCUGCUAGUAAUGACUCCCAAUUCAAUUUUCUGGCCAACUCAUCGCCGGAAUCAGCUUAUCUAAACGAACAGACUUGCCAUAUCCUCAAAGUCUGGUUGGAAAUUGUAUUUGGGUUUGUCUGAUUCUCUUGAGAUUUUUGGGGUUUGGGUUAGCGAUAAACCAUAAAAGGGAGUGGAUCAAAGACGGGUAUGAUUGUCUCGUUGAGGUUCAAUUCAAGAUUUUGGACGCGGUUCAAUUGGAAAAAGCAAUUUUAAUUGAAAACGGCAUUGAGGGGUGUGACAAUCACUGCAAAUUUUGUCACUGGCGCUAAACAAUCUUGUUGGAUUCUUACCACGGGAGAUUGGCAACUUAACUAAGAUGCAACAUCUACUGAUUGGUGGAAAUAAGCUUAUAGGUGAAAUACCCAAAGAGAUAAGCAAUCUCGUUGAGUUGGAGAAACUUGAUCUUGGGUUUAAUAGUCUUAGUGGUUCACUUGAAAUGGAGACCUUCAACAUAUCAGGACUGAGAGUAGUUUCUCUUUUAAUCAAUAAUCUAUCAGGAAGCCUCCCACCAAACAUGUGUUCUAUCUUACCCAACAUUGAAGAGCUUUAUCUGGGCAACUUAACCAAUCUUGUUGGGAAUAUACCUCAUUCCAUCUCCAAUUGUUCAAAAAUUACUAUUUUAGAUCUUUCAGGUAACAAACUCACUGGCUUGAUUCCUUGUUCUUUUGGAUAUUGGACUCAUUUAUGGUUCCUAAACUUGGAGAGAAACAAUUUAACCAGCGAUUCUUCGUUAAGCUUCCUAACUUCCUUAACCAAUUGCAAAAAUUUAAAAAUGCUUUAUCUAUCUUUAAACCCUCUAAACAGCAUUCUUCCAGUUUCUAGGGAACUUUUCCACAUCUCUUAUAAAAAUUUACGCCAACAAUUGCAAGAUCAAAGGGCGAAUUCCAAAUGAUUUUGGGAACUUAAGCAGCUUAUUAGAACUUGAUCUUUCUGAAAACAUCUUGGUUGGAUCAAUUCCCAAAACAAUUGGCAACUUGAGAAACCUUCAGCGCUUCAACUUGUGUAUCAACAAACUUAAAGGAUUUAUUGGCGAUCAUAUAUGUAAAUUGCAGCAUUUGGGUGAUAUUUACUUGGGUCAAAAUCAAUUUUCAGGAUCUCUUCCUUAUUGUUUAGGGAAUAUUACUUCCCUUGGGGAGAUACAUCUCGGUUCCAACAAAUUGAGUUCCAAUAUGCCACCAAGCUUAGGGAACCUUCACGAUCUAGUGUAUCUUCACUUAUCGUCAAACAAUAUGGUAGAUUCUUUACCUCUGGAAAUUGAAAAUUUAAAGGCUAUAAAAAAGAUGGAUCUAUCGAUGAAUCAAUUUUCAAAUGGAAUUCCUAGAGAAAUUGGAGGCUUGCAAAAUCUGGCAAAGUUUUCUUUGAGACACAACAAGUUACAAGGAGCUAUACCCGACUCAAUGAGCAGCAUGGUAGAUUUUGAAUUCCUAGACCUUUCUCACAAUAAUAUAUCUGGAAUCAUUCCUAAGUCUUUGGAGAAACUUCAAAACUUGGAGUUUUAUAAUGUUUCUGUCAACAAAUUGUAUGGUGAAAUACCCUCGGGGGUCCUUUCAAGAACCUCUCGAAAUCAAAUAGGAAAAAAUUACUAGUUCUUUUUCUUUUGCUCGCAAUUGCAGUUGUAUUUGUUCCUACGACCUUUGUGCUCCUAUGGAUAAGGCAUAAAAGAGGUAAUAGAGCUCCUCCACAAGUUGAGUCACUGUCUACUGUAAGAAGAGAAAGAAUUUCAUACAAUGAAUUGCUCCAAGCAACUGAUGGGCUUAGCGAGAGUAAUCUGAUUGGUUUUGGAAGUUUUGGCUUUGUGUACAAAGGCAUUCUCAGAAGUGGAACUGCCAUUGCAGUUAAAGUGUUCGAUCUACAACUGGAUGUGGCAUUCAAGAGUUUUGAUAUGGAAUGUGAAGUUUUGCUCGUAGCCUUCGCCAUAGGAAUCUCGUAAAAAUCAUUACUAGUUGUUCCAACCUUGAUUUUAAGGCUUUAGUUCUCGAGUAUAUGCCUAAUGGAAGUCUUGAGAAGUAUUUGUAUUCCGCACAACCACUUCCUAGACAUCAGGCAGAGGCUAAGCAUAAUGAUAGAUGUGGCAUAUGCGUGAAUAUCUUCACCAUGGGUGCUCGUCACCUGCGAUCCACUGUGAUCUGAAGCCUAGUAAUGUCUUGCUUGACGAGGAUAUGGUUGCCCACCUAAGUGACUUUGGCAUUUCAAAACUUCUUGGUGAAGAUGAGGGUGAUUUAUACACAACAACCUUAGAAACAUUGGAUUAUAUUGCGCCAGAGUAUGGACAAGAUGGGUUGGUGUCUACUAAAUGUGAUGUCUAUAGUUAUGGAAUCAUGUGCUGGAAACGUUUACUAGGAGAAAGCCUAGUGGGUUUGAGGGAGAUCUUAGCUUGAAACAAUGGGUGAGUUAUUCAAUUCCUGAUGCAGUAAUGGAUGUUGUGGAUUCCAACUUGCUAACACCGAUGGAUAAUCACUUGAAGAAAAAGUUAGAUUGUGUAGCAUCAACCAUGAAAGUGGCAGUAGAUUGUUGUGUUGAAUCUCCAGCAAGACGGACAAACAUGAAAGAUGUUGUAGGGAUACUAGAGAAGAUCAGGAUUCAACUUCUCACAUGUUGAACAUGCUCUUGGCAACUCUCGUUCCAAAUAACUUGUUUUGCUUCAAAUGUUUGUUAAACUAAUGUAUUGAUGUGAAGAAUGAAUCUUUUUGGCAAUUAAAGGAAUUUUAUUAAUUA